GGAAGAGGAGACCCAGAGUAUCACACUGAUCACAGUCAACCAAAGUUUGUCUGGUCUGCAGAUGUUCAUUCAGCAGCGUCUCUCACAGUGAGUCCUGACAGCGUGCAACACUUCAUCUCUGACUAUGUCUCACUGACCUGUGAGGGAAACUCCACUGAGUGGAGA